rnacentral:SRP_RNA from 1 species
GCUGGGCGCAGUGGCACGUGCCUGUAGUCCCAGUUACUAGGGAGGCUGAGACUGGAGGAUUCCUUGAGUCCAGGAGUUCUGGGCUGUAGUGCCCUAUGCCGAUUGGGUGCCCACACUAAGUUCAUCAUCAAUAUGGUGACCUCCUGGGAGCGGGGGACCACCAGGUUACCUAAGGAGGGGUGAACUGGCCCAGGUCAGAAAUAGAGCAGGUCAAAACUCCUGUACUGAUCAGUACUGGGAUUGCGCCUGUGAAUGGCCACUGCACUCCAGCCUGGGCAACACAGCAAGACCCCGUCCCA